GACGAACGCUGGCGGCGUGCCUAAUACAUGCAAGUAGAACGCUGAAGUCUGGUGCUUGCACUAGACGGAUGAGUUGCGAACGGGUGGGUAACGCGUGAGGAACCUACCUCGGAGUGGGGAAUAACAGCCCGAAAGGGUUGCUAAUACCGCAUGAUGCAGUUGUGUCGCAUGACACUGACUGCCAAAGAUUUAUCGCUCUGAGAUGGCCUCGCGUCUGAUUAGCUAGUUGGCGGGGUAACGGCCCACCAAGGCGACGAUCAGUAGCCGGACUGAGAGGUUGACCGGCCACAUUGGGACUGAGACACGGCCCAG
rnacentral:rRNA from 1 species